AAUCUUGCGCAAUGGGCGAAAGCCUGACGCAGCCAUGCCGCGUGAAUGAUGACGGUCUUCGGGUUGUAACGUACUUUUGGCAGAGAAGAAAAGGUAUCUCCCAAUACGAGAUACUGCAGACGGUAUCUGCAGAAUAAGCAUCAGCUAUCUACGUGCCAGCAGCCGCGGUAAUACGUAGGGUGCAAGCGUUAAUCGGAAUUACUGGGCGUAAAGCGUGUGUAGGCGGUUCGGAAAGAAAGAUGUGAAAACCCAGGGCUCAACCUUGGAACUGCAUUUUUAACUGCCGAGCUAGAGUAUGUCAGAGGGAGGUAGAAUUCCACGUGUAGCAGUGAAAUGCGUAGAUAUGUGGAGGAAGACCGAUGGCGAAGGCAGCCCCCUGGGAUAAUACUGACGCUCAGACACGAAAGCGUGGGGAGCAAACAG
rnacentral:rRNA from 1 species